rnacentral:rRNA from 1 species
AGCAGAGAUUGCUUUUGGUGCCUUUCGGGGAACUCUGAGACAGGUGCUGUAUGGCUGUCGUCAGCUCGUGUUGUGAAAUGUUGGGUUAAGUCCCGCAACGAGCGCAACCCUUUAUCCUUUGUUGCCAGCGAUUCGGUCGGGAACUCAAAGGAGACUGCCAGUGAUAAACUGGAGGAAGGUGGGGAUGACGUCAAGUCAUCAUGGCCCUUACGAGUAGGGCUACACACGUGCUACAAUGGCGCAUACAAAGAGAAGCGACCUCGCGAGAGCAAGCGGACCUCAUAAAGUGCGUCGUAGUCCGGAUUGGAGUCUGCAACUCGACUCCAUGAAGUCGGAAUCGCUAGUAAUCGUAGAUCAGAAUGCUACGGUGAAUACGUUCCCGGGCCUUGUACACACCGCCCGUCACACCAUGGGAGUGGGUUGCAAAAGAAGUAGGUAGCUUAACUUUCGGGAGGGCGCUUACCACUUUGUGAUUCAUGACUGGGGUGAAGUCGUAACAAGGUAAGCGUAGUGCU